UCGAGUAGAUGUGGACGUUAAUGGAAAUGAUUUGAGGGAGAAAAAUUUAAUUACUAAAUUCCAAUUAGACAAGAAAGCAAAUUUUUUUAUUCAAAGUGCACGUCUUUGUGAAUUUUGAAGCUAAGACGUUACUCAUACUUGAUGUCCUUAGCAUUUCUUUGUCAUGAAAGCAAGUAUUCAGAGUUCCUAACUGAACAUCUUUAGUGAGAAAUCCCACGUGGUAGAGGAGCGAUCGGACUUACUUAUAUGUUUGCAGUUGGAAAACACCAAGAGGAAAUUCUGCUACCAAGCUUUAUUCACUUCGAGUUCAAUGAUGGUGAUUUGACCUAUUCUGUGGCAUGAUUGAAGCUGAUGGGUACAAAACCGCUUAAAGAUGAGUGUAGUAUGGAUUAGUAUGAAUCCUUCUUGGGAGAGAUUCUGUAACAAAAAUGAUGUUGAAGAAAACAAUUUUACAUUAGAAGAAACUGGUGAAUUCUAGGUGCCCAUCACAACGAAAUGGUGGCAACAUUCAGGUCUCCAUUUAUCAAAAUAGGUAAAUUGGUUUGUGAAAAUAUUUGGGUGCCACUGUCAAUAGUGUGGUGACCAUACUCUGGUGUACCUGCUCGUGUUCUACAGCUUGAAGCUAUUAUGCUACUUAUGUAUCCUGAGGACUUCUUUACUUUGUCAUCCUGAACUGGCCAUACUUUCAAAUGGUGUUUUAUUUUAUCUGCAUCCUGUUUCAGGUUGGCUUAAGACUUCCUUUAUGCAACAGCGUGAAUGGGUUUGCAAGCUAUAACAAAUUUAGAACAUUGGGUGUUAGCACGAUAACAGCCCGAGAAAGUAAUUGAAACGGACGUGCUGAUAGUAUUGCUCCACUAAUACGUAAAAAAAUUGGGACAAAACAUUAUAUGAACCGAAAUGUAAUACGAGAAUUUUUUUGGAAAGCAUGCCGUGGGAUGAACCGUGAAACUCUUUUGUACUGGUUCCAUAGCAUAAGUAUUUUGGAUGAUGAGCAUGUUCAUUGUUGAGCAAGUCCAAAAGCUGUGGUAAUAUUUCCAGCAGUGUAGUUAAAAACUGGGUAAAAUAAUUCCAAUUAAUUUGAGAAUCAUGUUUGUUCGAUUCGACGUUCGUUAUGUUUUAUUUCUUAAGUGUAGUGUGAAAUUAUCACCACCGCGACGUCUGUCUUAGCGAAUUGUAACAUCAGACCUCGCUGAUCAUUAGGUCAAAUGCUACUUCGUCCCAUACGAAUUAGCUUGAAGCUGGAGCAGAUUAGAAUAAAUUUUAAUAAAAAAACCAAAGGGUGAAUCCAGCAAACAAUGUCAAACUUAGUUAUAUAAUAAUUAAAGUGGGGGUUUCACACUUAGGUUUACAAUUAAG